CCUACGGGAGGCAGCAGUGAGGAAUAUUGGUCAAUGGACGAGAGUCUGAACCAGCCAAGUAGCGUGAAGGAUGACUGCCCUAUGGGUUGUAAACUUCUUUUAUAAAGGAAUAAAACGAGGCACGUGUGCCUUUUUGCAUGUACUUUAUGAAUAAGGAUCGGCUAACUCCGUGCCAGCAGCCGCGGUAAUACGGAGGAUCCGAGCGUUAUCCGGAUUUAUUGGGUUUAAAGGGAGCGUAGAUGGGUUGUUAAGUCAGUUGUGAAAGUUUGCGGCUCAACCGUAAAAUUGCAAUUGAUACUGGCAGUCUUGAGUACAGUUGAGGUAGGCGGAAUUCGUGGUGUAGCGGUGAAAUGCAUAGAUAUCACGAGGAACCCCGAUUGCGAAGGCAGCCUGCCGGGGUGCGACUGACGCUGAGGCUCGAAGGUGCGGGUAUCAAACAGGAUUAGAUACCCGGGUAGUC
rnacentral:rRNA from 1 species